AACGAACGCUGGCGGCAGGCCUAACACAUGCAAGUCGAGCGAGGUAGCAAUACCUAGCGGCGGACGGGUGAGUAACGCGUGGGAACGUACCCUUUGGUUCGGAAUAGCCCUGGGAAACUGGGAGUAAUACCGGAUACGGUCGAGAGACGAAAGAUUUAUCGCCGAAGGAUCGGCCCGCGUUGGAUUAGGUAGUUGGUGGGGUAAUGGCCUACCAAGCCGACGAUCCAUAGCUGGUUUGAGAGGAUGAUCAGCCACACUGGGACUGAGACACGGCCCAGACUCCUACGGGAGGCAGCAGUGGGGAAUCUUAGACAAUGGGCGCAAGCCUGAUCUAGCCAUGCCGCGUGAGCGAUGAAGGCCUUAGGGUUGUAAAGCUCUUUCAGUG
rnacentral:rRNA from 1 species